GAAGCGGGAACCGAGCGCGGCUUCGGCCGAUCAGACUCGGGGCGCCUCGCCGAGAGGCAAGGCGGCA
rfam:Frankia sp. CcI3, complete genome.